rnacentral:rRNA from 1 species
GAAUUUUGGACAAUGGGCGAAAGCCUGAUCCAGCAAUGCCGCGUGCAGGAUGAAGGCCGUCGGGUUGUAAACUGCUUGUGUACGGAACGAAAAGCUUUGGGUUAAUACCGUGGAGUCAUGACGGUACCGUAAGAAUAAGCACCGGCUCAAUACGUGCCAGCAGCCUCGGUAACACGAAGGGUGCAAGAGUUAAUCGGAAUUACGGGGCGUAAAGCGUGCUCAGGCGGUUUUGUAAUACAGAGGUGAAAUCCCCGGGCUCAACCUGGGAACUGCCUUUGUGACUGCAAGGCUAGAGUACGGCAGAGGGGGGUGGAAUUCCGCGUGUAGCAGUGAAAUGCGUAGAUAUGCGGAGGAACACCGAUGGCGAAGGCAACCCCCUGGGCCUGUACUGACGCUCAUGCACGAAAGCGUGGGGAGCAAACA